UUCACACAGCCGUCAGACUAUAACAGAUGGCUGCUUCUUCGUCAUCUGUGAUUGAUCAAAGUCAGGCCUCCCGAUAUGUCAAAUUCAUCGGGUGUUGAAGAACAAUCGUUGACUGUUUAUGGGAUUUCGGAAGACAAUAUCAUCACAGGGCGUUGGGUCUUCAUCUCAUCGUGCUCAUGUGAUUAGUCUGAGAUUCCAUUGUUGCCGUAUGCAAAGGACUCUCGGCUUCUAAAUGGCACAUUAAGGUUUCAAGACCUGCAUCAAAGUGCUUAAGAAGUAAAGACCAAGUUAGAGACUUUGGAGGAGCAGGAGUCCUAAUGCCCUGCAAAGGUGCAAAUCAAAACGUUGAUGAAGUUUUUCUCACACUUUAGGAGGAGUCUCACACAAAUGAAUCACAACAGCUGCAACGACGUUUUUCUAAGUUUUAGUGUAUUAGCAAGCUCAUAAAUGAAUCCUGAAGAUUAUUUAUAAAAGUUGUAGUUAUCUUUUUUUUUUUUUUUGUAUGAAAGAUAUUUUUGUAUCUUU
rnacentral:lncRNA from 1 species